GAAAACUAGAAACCGUUUGCUUAUAGCUCUGGGUUCAUCUUAGAUGAGACUGAAAGACAGAAGGCAAAGGAAGAAGCUCCAAAGAGUCUAGGGCUUGCUGGGCCCCGAAGUCAGGCCCCGGGGGAGGCUGAGGUGGCCGUGAUGGCGGCAGAGUGACUGCUGAAGGACAGGAGGUGCCACGGCCAAGAGAGUCUCUGGUGACAACAGCUGAGGCAGAGGGGUGACACGGACCUGCUCACUGCGACUGAAGAGCACUCUGGCUCUUAGUGACAUGAGGGAAUUACGCUUCUCUGGUUAUGAAAAAAGGUUCCCAUCAUCUUCCUCCUUCCUGCCCCACAGGAAGGGGACAGGGAAAGACCCACGCCGUGGAGGUGAGGAGUAAGAACCAGGACAGGAGACUUCUGAAGGAGAACUUGAGCCUGGAGACUUCAGGAUGCCUCCCCAGUCCCUCCUAUACGGGGACCCAAGGCAGAGGGGUCACUGGGAAUCAACGCAUAGACAGUAAUUUUCCUCCUGCUUGGUAAGCCCUUGGAACAAUCUGAUGACUCGAUGUUUAAAAAUGUGUUCUACCAAAAAAAAAAGUGCUUCUACAGUAAGAGCAAGCAAGGAAGUAUCAGUUCUGUUUUCUUUUGUUUUCUGGGUUUUUAUGCAAUUGCUACAUUUUCCGGUUGAAUGUUGCUUCACUAUCUACAACGUCCUCUCUGCUUUGCCUCUCCAGCUUUCUUGCUUUACUGAAAGAGCCCUGGAACUUGCCAUUCCUGCAAAAGAUAUAAACUUAUUAAAAAAUCCCUACCACUAGAGUAGUAAGACUACUGAAAAUUCACCAUCUUUCUCGGAAAAUGCCUUCUUGUUGCUGUAUCUCCAAUGGCUGCCAAGCUGAGAACAUGCCCCGGUCGUCUCAGUCUGUCCAGAAGGUCUGGAAUGCUGGGUGAUUCCAGCAAAGACCUGGCACCAGGUUCCCCUGAGAGCAGAGGCCCUUUGGCACAAGCAUCUCACUGGGCCCGGAGCGGCUGUGUCAAGGUCUGGAGAACCAGCCUCGGUUUCCUCUAAGCAUGGAGUCACUGGUCUGAGGACAAGUUCAAAGCCAGGGUUUUCAAGACCCCAUGCUGGGCCCUGCCACCUUUUUCUGGACUUGAAGGGAGAAGGGAGGGAAACAAGGAAGAACUACAGCAUUUGUUUGGGGGGAUGAUAAUAUUUUUUUUUUUUCAAGCAGCUGUGAGCUUAGAGAAUGGCUUUAGGAAGCCCCACAUGUUGGGUGGAUGAAUCUGCUGGGACUCUGAGUUCAAACUGAGAAAAACCCCCUUGCUCAGAAGGCAUGUGCUAAACAUUUCAGGGGUGGGUCUGGCUGGAUACAUAACUCAGAUCAAACAAGGCCAGGAAUCAAUCUUUCUCUUGCUAACUCUUCAUUCAAAUUCCUCUGUGCGGCCUUCAUUUUCAGCACACCCUCAUGUGAAGGCUUGAAGAAUCCAGGCUUUCGUUCAGCUAGGCUAAGGAAAGAGUGCUUCUCUCCUUCUGAACAGCUCCACAUUAGUCCCAGGACUGCUUCAUCUCACUGACCUGCGUAGCGUGUCCUGUCUGCUUAAACAAUCAGAAGGUCUGAAAAAUGAAAUGAGUGGUUGGCUGGGUCUGGCCCUCCUCCUGCUACUCCAAGGGCUUCCCAGGUGGCAAUAGUGGUAAAGAAUCUGCCUGCCAAUGCAGGAGACAUAAGAAACGUGGGUUCAGUCCCUGGGCUGGGAAGAUCCCCUGGAGUAGGAAACGCCAACUUGCUCCAAUAUGCUUGCCUGGAAAAGUCCAUGCACAGAGGAGCCUGGUGACAGUCUGUGGGGUCGCAAAGACUCAAACACGAGCGAGAGACUGAAUGCACGUACACUGCUGCCUCAAAGGAAAACUGAGGCAAUGUUACCAGAAGAUGGAAUGAAUGGAGGUUAAACAACAGCAGGAAAUCCCCUCGGCAGGGGUUAUGUGGUAGUCUUUGGUAGAUAAGACUGCUGAGGGUACAGGCAGGGACAGCUCACAGGUCAGCAGUUCCAAAGAUCGGUCAGGGC
ensembl:lncRNA